AGUCCUAGCAACAGAUAAACAAUGCAAGGAAGCAAAGGGAGCUGAGAAGCUGUUCGGAGACCUCGGCUGUUUCUGUUGGAAUAAUGUGGAAUCUAAAGUCGUACGACAAGCCGGUUUUAUCUGGCCUGCUUUAAAACAAGACGCUCGGAGCCAUACAGAAGAAAAAAUGCAAAUCUGUGCUAAUUGCUAAAGAGAAAAGGAGACGAGGGCCAGUUAAUCAAGAAAGCUGCUUAAAGCAAUGCCAAAAUAACUCCACACCUCCUGACCUGAACAAACUGAGCACGCCACUAUGCAUCUGGCUUUCCACAGAAACUCAGCUGGGCUUUAAGGAUUGCUCUUAAGCCUGACAUGUUUGGCAGCAAUACAACUUAAAUGUGACAACACUCAUUUUAGAGAUCUGCUUGCAUUCAUAUACGGAGGGUGGUGCGGACGGACCAGUACAUCACUGGGGCCGAGCUCCCAGCCAUCGAAGACAUCUAUGCCAGGCGGUGUCUGAGGAAGGCUUAGGACUUUGGACCAACCACUCCGAGACAGCUUUUUUCUCCAAGCAGUAAAGCCUGCUGAAUAGUUAAUCAAUGGAUACCCACCACGGACUACUGAGAAGGGAAGUCCCACAGGGAGACAUUUCUGAGUUGUCUGAAGAACGCUGCACAUCUCUGGUUCUCCGGCUGACCUCGAUCAAGACACCCAUGUCGACUGGAUUCCUACUGUGAAGAUGAGCAAUGCUGCAUCAGUUUCUCCUUCACUAUGUUUUCCUUUUUCAGAUAUGAAAGGAGACAUCCCUCAGUUAUACAAGAUGGUUGACAUAUGCUGUGCUUUGGUCAAUCUGAAUGAUUAUGUUGUGCCAUUUGAGUAGAGAGCACUUUCACCUUGUUGUCAUGACAAAGGUACCCCCUUAAAUCAUAUGAAUAUAUAAAAUGUAAUUUGGAAAAACAUGUCAAAUCCUGUUGUUCAUUGUAAACAGACUAUACUUCAGUAAUAGGCUAUAUUGUUGUAUGGGUGAAAUUAAAAGUGUGUCAUCUCUGCUUUGCCUUGCCCCAUUGAAUAAAAUGUAUUUCUUAGAGCCUAACUAUGAUUUAUUUUACAAUUUAAACACAUUUAGCAUAGACAAUGUCAUUGUUGUGGUAGUAUUAGGCAAACCAUCUUCAUUAUCACAGUGGCAACUCCAAGUGCCAUUCAGACCUGGGAGAAAAAUAUCUGACAAUGAACAUGGUAGUAAUGGUUGUAUGUAUGUUUUAAGCUAAGGACCCCAUCUUCCUGUUUCCAGACAUUUCACUACCUAGAAUACAAUGGUUGGAUUUGCAUUAAACAAUUAAAUGUCGGCACAAGG